rnacentral:rRNA from 1 species
UACGAAGGGGGCUAGCGUUGCUCGGAAUCACUGGGCGUAAAGGGUGCGUAGGCGGGUUUUAAGUCAGGGGUGAAAUCCUGGAGCUCAACUCCAGAACUGCCUUUGAUACUGAAGAUCUUGAGUCCGGGAGAGGUGAGUGGAACUGCGAGUGUAGAGGUGAAAUUCGUAGAUAUUCGCAAGAACACCAGUGGCGGAAGGCGGAGCUCGACUGGCCCGGUACGUGACGCUGAGGUGCGAAAGCGAUGGGGAGCAAACAGGGAUUAAGAAACC